GAAGCUGUGUAGCAGUCCUCUCUCAUUCUCCUUGAAGUUUACACUGAAAUGUACAUACAAAUGUCUGAUUUGGAUGUAGAGGAAAUGUAAUGUAGGCUGUUGUUGAAAUGAUGUGUGUUAUGGUGAUUUUUCUGCAAGUAUACUUUUAGAUGCAACUCACUGUCAAGUUGCUGUUACGUGUUUUUGCUACUGCUGCUUUUUUGCAACAUUUUUUUGUUAUUAAAUGGCAAAGAGGAUAGAGCAGUUUUCAUUCAGCGUAGCAGCUCUGAGGUGUCAGGUAGUGACUGGCUCAUCAUAUGACAACAGGGACAACAAUUUGAUUCUAAACAAGGAAAUCUGUGACGUAUCCCCCUCUUUUUCUCUCCUUACAUUCACAUCAGUAUGUUGAAUAUGGCUUCAACUAACAAUUUUAAGCAUCAGUUGUAAAUAAUGUUUUUCGGCCACAACCUAAACGUUCAGUUUACUGUCAUAGAGGAACACAAAACCCAGAAAAUGUUCAAAUUUAAGAAACUGAAAUGAGAGAAGUUACUUUUUAUCUUUAAAAAAAUUACUUAUCCUAAUAAUCAA